AUGAACGCUGGCGGCGUGCCUAACACAUGCAAGUCGAACGAAGCACUUUGAUUGAUUCUUCGGAUGAAUGAUGAGUGACUGAGCGGCGGACGGGUGAGUAACGCGUGGGUAACCUGCCCUGUACACACGGAUAACAUACCGAAAGGUAUGCUAAUACGAGAUAAUAUGCUUUUAUCGCAUGGUAGAAGUAUCAAAGCUCCGGCGGUACAGGAUGGACCCGCGUCUGAUUAGCUAGUUGGUGAGGUAACGGCUCACCAAGGCGACGAUCAGUAGCCGACCUGAGAGGGUGAUCGGCCACAUUGGAACUGAGACACGGUCCAAACUCCUACGGGAGGCAGCAGUGGGGAAUAUUGCACAAUGGGCGAAAGCCUGAUGCAGCAACGCCGCGUGAGCGAUGAAGGCCUUCGGGUCGUAAAGCUCUGUCCUCAAGGAAGAUAAUGACGGUACUUGAGGAGGAAGCCCCGGCUAACUACGUG
rnacentral:rRNA from 1 species